rnacentral:rRNA from 1 species
AGCGAACGCUGGCGGCGUGCCUAACACAUGCAAGUCGAACGUGAAAGGGAGCACUCCCAAGUAAAGUGGCGUACGGGUGAGUAACACGUAGGUAAUCUACCCCAGAAUCUGGAAUAACCGGCCGAAAGGCUGGCUAAUACUGGAUAGAGCGACGGAAUCCGUAAUUGGGUUUUUCGGGAAAGGGAGCCUGUAAAAAGGCCUUCGUUCUGGGAUGAGCCUGCGUCCCAUCAGCUAGUUGGUGAGGUAAAAGCUUACCAAGGCAAUGACGUGUAGCUGGUCUGAGAGGACGAUCAGCCACACUGGAACUGAAACACGGUCCAGACUCCUACGGGAGGCAGCAGUGGGGAAUCUUGCGCAAUGGACGAAAGUCUGACGCAGCAACGCCGCGUGAGGGAAGAAGGCCUUCGGGUUGGAAAGCUCUGUCGAGUGGGACGAAAAUGCUUGGAGUUCACAGCUCCAGGAACUGACGGUACCACUAAAGGAAGCACCGGCUAACUCCGUG